AUUGAACGCUGGCGGCAUGCUUUACACAUGCAAGUCGAACGGUAACAGGCCGCAAGGUGCUGACGAGUGGCGAACGGGUGAGUAAUGCAUCGGAACGUGCCCAGUCGUGGGGGAUAACGCAGCGAAAGCUGUGCUAAUACCGCAUACGAUCUCUGGAUGAAAGCGGGGAACCGAAAGGCCUCGCGCGAUUGGAGCGGCCGAUGUCAGAUUAGGUAGUUGGUGGGGUAAAGGCUCACCAAGCCAACGAUCUGUAGCUGGUCUGAGAGGACGAACAGCCACACUGGGACUGAGACACGGCCCAGACUCCUACGGGAGGCAGCAGUGGGGAAUUUUGGACAAUGGGCGCAAGCCUGAUCCAGCAAUGCCGCGUGCAGGAAGAAGGCCUUCGGGUUGUAAACUGCUUUUGUACGGAACGAAAAGGUCUGGGUUAAUACCCUGGGCACAUGACGGUACCGUAAGAAUAAGCACCGGCUAACUACGUGCCAGCCGCCGCCGUAA
rnacentral:rRNA from 1 species